GACAGAGGGUGCAAACGUUGUUCGGAAUUACUGGGCGUAAAGCGCACGUAGGCGGCUUUGUAAGUUAGAGGUGAAAGCCCGGGGCUCAACUCCGGAAUUGCCUUUAAGACUGCAUCGCUAGAAUUGUGGAGAGGUAAGUGGAAUUCCGAGUGUAGAGGUGAAAUGCGUAGAUAUCGGGAGGAACACCAGUGGCGAAGGCGACUACCUGGCCUGUUCUUGACGCUGAGGCGCGAAAGCGUGGGGAGCAAACGGG
rnacentral:rRNA from 1 species